CCUGCACCUUCAAGUGUUACAGGUGUGGCUGCUGUGUUACAUGUGAGUCAGUGGUUGCAAAGGAGAAAGAGGCUAUGUUUACACUCAGUGGUCCUAUGAACAUCUGAGGGAUUAGUGGUCUAGCAGC
rnacentral:snoRNA from 1 species